rnacentral:rRNA from 1 species
UACGUAGGGGGCGAGCGUUGUCCGGAAUCAUUGGGCGUAAAGCGCGUGUAGGCGGCCCGGUAAGUCCGCUGUGAAAGUCCAGGGCUCAACCCUGGGAUGCCGGUGGAUACUGUCGGGCUCGAGUCCGGAAGAGGCGAGUGGAAUUCCUGGUGUAGCGGUGAAAUGCGCAGAUAUCAGGAGGAACACCAAGUGGCGAAGGCAGCUCGCUGGGACGUGACUGACGCUGAGACGCGAAAGCGUGGGGAGCAAACAGG